rnacentral:rRNA from 1 species
GCGCGAAACCUUUACACUGCACGAAGGUGCGAUAAGGGGACUCCGAGUGCGAGGGCAUACAGUCCUCGCUAUUGUGUACCGUAGGGUGGUACACGACCAAGAGCUGGGCAAGACCGGUGCCAGCCGCCGCGGUAAUACCGGCAGCUCGAGUGAUGGCCGAUUUUAUUGGGCCUAAAGCGUCCGUAGCUGGCCCUGCAAGUCCGUCGGGAAAUCCACUCGCCUAACGAGUGGGCGUCCGGCGGAAACUACAGGGCUUGGGACCGGAAGACUUGAGGGGUACGUCUGGGGUAGGAGUGAAAUCCUGUAAUCCUGGACGGACCGCCGAUGGCGAAAGCACCUCAAGACGACGGAUCCGACAGUGAGGGACGAAAGCUAGGGUCUCGAACCGGAUUAGAUACCCGGGUAGUCCUAGCCGUAAACGAUGUUCGCUAGAUGUGGCACAGGCUACGUGCCUGUGC